rnacentral:rRNA from 1 species
UACGAAGGGGGCUAGCGUUGCUCGGAAUCACUGGGCGUAAAGCGCACGUAGGCGGAUCGUUAAGUCAGGGGUGAAAUCCUGGAGCUCAACUCCAGAACUGCCUUUGAUACUGGGUAUCUUGAGUAUGGAAGAGGUAAGUGGAAUUCCGAGUGUAGAGGUGAAAUUCGUAGAUAUCGGGAGGAACACCAGUGGCGAAGGCGGCGACCUGGGCCAAUACUGACGCUGAGGUGCGAAAGCGUGGGGAGCAAACAGG